UAUGAAAUUGAUCAGUUUGGUUUGUCAUACUGAAGAAAGAAUGAAGGAUGAAAGAAGUGGAAAAAAGUGAAGAAAUAAAAUUAAUACAAGGUUUUCUGAUGUUAGUAUGAAGUUGAUCAGUUUGGUUUGUCAUACUGAAAGAAAGAAUGAAGGAUGAAAGAAUUAGAAAAAAGUGUAGAAAUAAAAUUAAUACAAGGUUUUCUGAUAGUAUGAAAUUGAUCAGUUUGGUUUGUCAUACUGAAGGAAAGAAUGAAGGAUGAAAGAAGUGGACAAGAGUGCAGAAAUAAAAUUAAUACAAGGUUUUCUGAUGUUAGUAUGAAAUUGAUCAGUUUAGUUUGUCAUACUGAAGGAAAGAAUGAAGGAUGAAAGAAUGAAAAAAAGUGUAGAAAUAAAAUUAAUACAAGGUUUUCUGAUGAUAGUAUGAAAUUGAUCAGUUUGGUUUGUCAUACUGAAGGAAAGAAUGAAGGAUGAAAGAAUUGGAAAAAAGUGAAGAAAUAAAAUUAAUACAAGGUUUUCUGAUGUUAGUAUGAAAUUGAUCAGUUUGGUUUGUCAUACUGAAGAAAAGAAUGAAGGAUGAAAGAAUUGGAAAAAAGUGUAGAAAUAAAAUUAAUACAAGGUUUUCUGAUGUUAGUAUGAAAUUGAUCAGUUUGGUUUGUCAUACUGAAGGAAAGAAUGAUGGAUGAAAGAAUUGGAAAAAAGUGUAGAAAUAAAAUUGAUACAAGGUUUUCUGAUGUUAGUAUGAAAUUGAUCAGUUUGGUUUGUCAUACUGAAGGAAAGAAUGAAGGAUGAAAGAAGUGGAAAAAAGUGUAGAAAUAAAAUUAAUACAAGGUUUUCUGAUGUUAGUAUGAAAUUGAUCAGUUUGGUUUGUCAUACUGAAGGAAAGAAUGAAGGAUGAAAGAAUGAAAAAAGUAUGAAAGUGUAUAGAAAUAAGAGUGAUAUACAAGGUUGAAAAGAUUAUACAGUAGCUAAGAAGAUAAGAAACGAGGAAGGGUCACUAAAAUAAAUAUAUAAGAGAAGGGUAAACUUUAAUAAAUUCAAAAGAGAAGAAAGAAAAAACGGGGAAAAUUAAGGGGAGACUUCACCUAUAAGAUAUCAAUUUAUUCUUUACGUCCACAAAUAAGAAAGAAAGGAAGAUAGUUACAUAAGUUAGUAAUGAAAGAAAAGGAAGAGAAAGGUAAAGUCUCGAUCAUUUAAACUGGAAGAGAAAGAAAGGGGAAAGAAGAGGGAGAAAGGAACAUGGUAAUUAAUGAAGACAAAUAAAGAAACAAGAAAAAGAGGAGGAAGAAAAGAUGAAAAUGCAAGUAAAAGGAAGAAACGAGGAAAAGAAGAGGGAGAAGAGGAAGAAAGGAAGAUAAUAGAAGAAAAUGACGAAGAGCAAAGAUUCACACAUUCAAACUGGAAGACAAAUAAGGAAACAAGAAAAAGAAGAGGCGAAUUAACUAUCUACUAAUCUAUUCAACCUUUAUUCUUUACAUCUAUGCAUAAAGAAAGGAAUAAAGAAGAUGGCGAUGAAGGAAAACAAGAAGAGAAAGAGAAGACAAGCAAAUAAACUAUAAGAUAAAUAAAGAAAUAAGGAAAAAUCAGUGUCAGGUGAGCAGAGGUGAGCAACAGAUUAUAAGGUAAA